UGAUGACAAGGACUGUGGCUUCUUAGUCCUGUCUCUGCAGCCUGCGAAGUUCAGCCCCAAAUCACCCAACAGCUCUUGUGUAGGGAACUGCUUUACGGAGCAACCCCUGGUGCUGGAUUGUUCUCACGGUGAAAAGUCUGGUGUUGGCCCAGCAGAACGAGCUCCCUGCAGAAGAGCAGAAGAGCUGCCCCUUCCCUCCUUCCUGGCAGAGCAAGUGGAUUUGUGGCUGUUCCGUGUGUGCAGCGAAGCUGGCACCGAACCCCUCCUCUGCCGGCAGCCGAGGGGAAGGAGAGCUCGGUAUAACCUUCGGUGUGUUAUUUAUUAUCACUUCGCAGCCCCCUGGAAAAUGAAGUUUGGAGACCCGUGAGCCGAUGCCUCCACGCAGACACAUGUUUUUUGCUACAUCAUUAUUUUGAUACCCGGUGGUUUGUUCUGCUGGUUGUGGGUUGUUUGCCAAGGGCCUUGGAGCAGCAGAGCUCAGGAAUGCAGCCUGUAAGCUGAAGAGUGUCACUGAAACCUGCUUUUUCAGAGCCAAGCACCACAGGUGAAAUCAUUGUGACCAGCAGAUUGAGGCUGGUUCCUCUGAGGAGAAAAAAACAGAGCAAGGGCCUGGAGGAGUUGUCAGCUGAGUGGGCUCUGCAGUGAAGCAGGAACACCUCACCACGGAGGCCCUGUUGGAACCAGAACUGUCCAUGACCCAGGAAUGAUGGCAAGGGAAGGGGUAUUUCACUGGGAACAGCCCACAGUGAGAUGCAGAGGGACACAGAGAACUUCACCCCUGGCUUGUGCAAAGUGUCUAAAAGUUACUGAGUUUCCUUUUUUCCAGUUUCUUCUGGGACUUUAGGAAGUGAUGACAUUCCCUUCCUGGAGAGGCAGCAAGUGCACAGGUGAGUUAUCUCUGGGCAGGGGAAUCAGACCUGAUUGCACAGUCACUGGGCAGGGGAGGUUCCAGCAAUGACAGUGGUGACAUGUUCCCUGGAUUUGUACACCUUGGCAGGAGCAGGGGAUUGAGCACAGUGUGCCAGGGGGAGAGGACAGGAGGAGAGGG